UUUCGCAAUGCCCGAAAGGGUGACGAAGCGACGCCGCGUGUGGGAAGAAGGCCUUCGGGUUGUAAACCACUGUCGGGAGUUAGGAAAUGUAAGGGUGCUAAUAGUAUCCUUACUUGACUAAGGCUCCGGAGGAAGCCACGGCUAACUCUGUGCCAGCAGCCGCGGUAAUACAGAGGCGGCAGGCGUUGUUCGGAAUUAUUGGGCGUAAAGAGCACGUAGGCGGCCUUGUAAGUCAGUUGUGAAAGCCUUCUGCUUAACGGAAGAACAGCAACUGAUACUGCAAGGCUAGAGUGCGGAAGGGGAGAGUGGAACUUCUGGUGGAGCGGUGAAAUGCGUAGAUAUCAGAAGGAACACCGGCGGCGAAGGCGUCUCUCUGGUCCGUAACUGACGCUGAGUGUGCGAAAGCUAGGGGAGCAAACGGGAUUAGAUACCCCGGUAGUCCUAGCCGUAAACGAUGGGCACUAAGUAGAGGGGUUUUA
rnacentral:rRNA from 1 species